rnacentral:lncRNA from 1 species
CCUUGAGCCCAGACUGUCAAACUCAUCUGACAAGACACAGAUGCUGCGACUUGGAGAGAGGAUGAUUUGUUUACUCUUCAAUGCUAAUGGAAACAAAGACUUUGAUCCAGGAACAUGGCUGGACCCGGGACACAAACACACAAAAAAGAACACAGACUGUGAUUGUAUUGGAGUUUGUCUUUUUGACAGGUGUAGGGGAGGUAACCUAAUCUAA